UGGAGAAUAAACUAAGUUAAGUUGUUGGGCUCAUAACCUGAAUAUGGAUUGAUAAUCUUUUUCCUG
rnacentral:tRNA from 2 species